CCUGCCGCGGCGGUGCUCACUGCGGGCUCCGCCCCUGGCCCACGCACCUGUGCUCUUCAUCACACCUGUCGCUGUUUACUGCAAUCAGAAGGGCCUUUUAAGAUGGCAGACCUACACUACUCGUCGCUGGAACGUUGAGCCACCCGUAUCCCCCCGGACCCGUCCCUGUACCCCCGAGUGAGCGAGAGGAACGACUGGAGGAAAAGGAGUGGGAUUGUUGGCUGAGAGAGCGGAGUGUGGUUUUGGACCCUUUCCCUUCCCCUCGCACCCUGGAGCCCCGGACCCCUUCCCCAAGCACCUUGUAUAUAUAUAUUCACCCGGUGACACCACUGUAAAUAAACGCACUAUCAGUUUCUGCAAGAGUCUCCUGGUCUGCGCCUGAGUCCGUUUACAGAACCGUGUCAAAAACAAAGAGGAUGGAAACAUUUAUCUUUACUAACAAUCUUCACACAUUCAUCGUCAUCAGUCAUAUUUUUAUUUUUAUGGUGUCAAACACGUCAUUGACACAAAUGGAAACGAUGUGCACCUGCUGAGUCUUCUUAUCAUUUCUCUUUAGAAUUUUUAUUUAUAAGACAUUGAGAGAUUGAAGCUGAUGGACUCUUUAUUUUAAAUUUUUAAAACAUGAACAUCAACAAAAAAGGGAAAGAUCUGAUAAUUACUAAAGUUGUGGUGAGGAUGUGACGUCUGACAAAUAACAGGAAGUACAAACAGUCUUAAAGAGUCAUCAGUUCAGAGACUGUGACAGUCGAGAUCGAGAACAAGAAAGAAGUGAGACAGAGAAGCACGAUGGAUGAAUUCAGAUGGAUUCAAAUGUUUUCAUGUCUGAUGAUUCAGAUUGCAGUAUCUGUAAAUGAAACAUCCAUGUUUAUGAAAGUUGGAGAUGACGUCACUCUGCCUUGUCUAAAUGUGAUAGAUGAGCAGAAUAACUGUGAUGGUACUACGUGGACGUUUGCUUCAAGAAACAAACCAACAACAGUAGAGCUGAUCACACUUGGACAGAUUGUUGAAGAAGCUAAAACUAAAUCAGACAGACUGAGUGUUACAGCGAACUGUUCUCUGCUUAUAAAGAAGCUCACAGUUGAGGAUGUUGGUCUUUAUUACUG